AUGGCAGGUACAGAGGGAUGCUACCGGGCGACCGGAUGCGGAUCUCGAAAGCCUGUCCCAGUUCGGACUGGAGUCUGCAACCCGACUCCACGAAGUUGGAUUCGCUAGUAAUCGCGCAUCAGCCAUGGCGCGGUGAAUACGUUCCCGGGCCUUGUACACACCGCCCGUCAAGCCAUGGGAGCCGGGGGCGCCUGAAGUCCGGGACCGCGAGGACCGGCCCAGGGCGAAACUGGUAACUGGGGCUAAGUCGUAACAAGGUAAC
rnacentral:rRNA from 1 species